UAACACGUGAGCAACCUGCCCUGGACUCUGGGAUAAGCGCUGGAAACGGCGUCUAAUACUGGAUAUGAGCCCCUAUCGCAUGGUGGGGGUUGGAAAGAUUUUUUGGUCUGGGAUGGGCUCGCGGCCUAUCAGCUUGUUGGUGAGGUAAUGGCUCACCAAGGCGUCGACGGGUAGCCGGCCUGAGAGGGUGACCGGCCACACUGGGACUGAGACACGGCCCAGACUCCUACGGGAGGCAGCAGUGGGGAAUAUUGCACAAUGGGCGAAAGCCUGAUGCAGCAACGCCGCGUGAGGGAUGACGGCCUUCGGGUUGUAAACCUCUUUUAGCAGGGAAGAAGCGAAAGUGACGGUACCUGCAGAAAAAGCGCCGGCUAACUACGUGCCAGCAGCCGCGGUAAUACGUAGGGCGCAAGCGUUAUCCGGAAUUAUUGGGCGUAAAGAGCUCGUAGGCGGUUUGUCGCGUCUGCUGUGAAAUCCCGAGGCUCAACCUCGGGCCUGCAGUGGGUACGGGCAGACUAGAGUGCGGUAGGGGAGAUUGGAAUUCCUGGUGUAGCGGUGGAAUGCGCAGAUAUCAGGAGGAACACCGAUGGCGAAGGCAGAUCUCUGGGCCGUAACUGACGCUGAGGAGCGAAAGGGUGGGGAGCAAACAGGCUUAGAUACCCUGGUAGUCCACCCCGUAAACGUUGGGAACUAGUUGUGG
rnacentral:rRNA from 1 species